GAUGAAGAACGUAGCGAAAUGCGAUAAGUAAUGUGAAUUGCAGAAUUCAGUGAAUCAUCGAAUCUUUGAACGCACAUUGCGCCCCUUGGUAUUCCGGGGGGCAUGCCUGUUCGAGCGUCAUUACAACCCUCAAGCUCUGCUUGGUCUUGGGCGUCACCGGUCCCCGGUGUGCCUUAAAAUCAGUGGCGGCGCCAUCUGGCUCUAAGCGUAGUACAUACUCUCGCUACAGACGUCCGGUGGAUGCUGGCCAGCAACCCCCAAUUUAUCAAGGUUGACCUCGGAUCAGGUAGGGAUACCCGCUGAACUUAAGCAUAUCAAUAAGCGGAGGA
rnacentral:misc_RNA from 1 species